rnacentral:rRNA from 1 species
UACAGAGGUCCCAAGCGUUGUUCGGAUUCAUUGGGCGUAAAGGGUGCGUAGGUGGUGAGGUAAGUCGGAUGUGAAAAUCUCCAGGCUCAACCUGGAAACUGCAUUGGAAACUACCUUGCUGGAGGAUUUUGAGGGGGGGGAUUGGAAUACUUGGUGUAGCAGUGAAAUGCGUAGAUAUCAAGUGGAACACCAGUGGCGAAAGG